GAUGAAGAACGCAGCGAAAUGCGAUAAGUAAUGUGAAUUGCAGAAUUCAGUGAAUCAUCGAGUCUUUGAACGCACAUUGCGCCCCCUGGUAUUCCGGGGGGCAUGCCUGUCCGAGCGUCAUUGCUGCCCUCAAGCACGGCUUGUGUGUUGGGCCCCGUCCUCCGAUCCCGGGGGACGGGCCCGAAAGGCAGCGGCGGCACCGCGUCCGGUCCUCGAGCGUAUGGGGCUUUGUCACCCGCUCUGUAGGCCCGGCCGGCGCUUGCCGAUCAACCCAAGUUUUUAUCCAGGUUGACCUCGGAUCAGGUAGGGAUACCCGCUGAACUUAAGCAUAUCAAUAAGCGGAGGA
rnacentral:misc_RNA from 1 species